CGGGAAGUAGCUCAGCUUGGUAGAGCACUUGGUUUGGGACCAAGGGGCCGCAGGUUCGAAUCCUGUCUUCCCGACCA
rnacentral:tRNA from 2 species